CACAGGUAUGGGGACAUGGUGCCCAGCACAAUCGCAGGCAAGAUUUUCGGCUCCAUCUGCUCGCUCAGCGGGGUGCUGGUCAUCGCCCUACCAGUGCCCGUCAUCGUAUCCAAC
rfam:Monodelphis domestica chromosome X, whole genome shotgun sequence.